rnacentral:rRNA from 1 species
AAUGCCGGUAUGAUGACGUUAGUCUAUGAAUAAGCCCCCGGCUAAUUACGUGCCAGCAGCCGCGGUAACACGUAUGGGGGCGAGCGUUUGUUCGGAAUUAUUGGGGCGUAAAGGGCACGCAGGCGGGUUAGAAAGUCUGGUGUGGAAGACCGCAGCUUAACUGCGGAAAACGCACCUGGAAACUUUUUAAUCUAGAGUUCAAGAGGGGAAGCUGGAAUUCCAGGUGUAGGGGUGAAAUCUAUAGAUAUCUGGAAGAACAUCAGUGGCGAAGGCGAGCUUCUGGCUAUGAACUGACGCUGAGGUGCCGAAAGCGUGGGGAGCAAACAGGAUUAGAUACCCCUGGUAG